GAGCGGUAUUGUUUCUUCGGAAACGAGAGAGCGGCGCACGGGUGCGGAACACGUGUGCAACCUGCCUUUAUCUGGGGGAUAGCCUUUCAAAGGAAGAUUAAUACCCCAUAAUAUUUUGAAUGGCAUCAUUUAAAAUUGAAAACUCCGGUGGAUAGAGAUGGGCACGCGCAAGAUUAGAUAGUUGGUAGGGUAACGGCCUACCAAGUCAGUGAUCUUUAGGGGGCCUGAGAGGGUGAUCCCCCACACUGGUACUGAGACACGGACCAGACUCCUACGGGAGGCAGCAGUGAGGAAUAUUGGACAAUGGGUGAGAGCCUGAUCCAGCCAUCCCGCGUGAAGGACGACAGCCCUAUGGGUUGUAAACUUCUUUUGUACAGGGAUAAACCUUUCCACGUGUGGAAAGCUGAAGGUACUGUACGAAUAAGCACCGGCUAACUCCGUG
rnacentral:rRNA from 1 species